UUUAUUGGAGAGUUUGAUCCUGGCUCAGGACGAACGCUGGCGGCAUGCCUAAUACAUGCAAGUCGAGCGGAGUUGAUAGGAAGCUUGCUUCCUUGAUGCUUAGCGGCGGACGGGUGAGUAACACGUAGGCAACCUGCCCUCAAGCUUGGGACAACUACCGGAAACGGUAGCUAAUACCGAAUACUUGCUUUCUUCGCCUGAAGGAAGCUGGAAAGACGGAGCAAUCUGUCACUUGAGGAUGGGCCUGCGGCGCAUUAGCUAGUUGGUGAGGUAACGGCUCACCAAGGCGACGAUGCGUAGCCGACCUGAGAGGGUGAUCGGCCA
rnacentral:rRNA from 1 species